GUGAAUCAUCGAAUUUUUGAACGCAAAUUGCACUCCCUGGUAUUCCGGGGAGUAUGCAUGUUGGAGGGGCGGUAGAAUAAAAAAUCGAGGCGUCGCUCUGUUUAGGAGGGUGAUAGCGUCGGAAUUGAGCCGUCUUUCAAAUGUUAAUUCAUGUCAAAGUGGCUUAAAAUUCAUACAUCCGGUACGAUUAAAACGUAUUGAAGAGAAAUUUUGUUCAAGAACGAGCGAUGACGUACCAUCUCAUGUAGUACGUUUGACCUGGGUCAUCAGGAUCAGUCGUAUACUAUACUCGAAAUUUUGA
rnacentral:misc_RNA from 1 species